UACGGAGGUGGCGAGCGUUACUCGGAAUUACUGGGUGUAAAGGGCAAGUAGGUGGCUGUGUAAGUUGGGGGUGAAAUUCUUCGACUCAAUCGAAGAACUGCCUUCAAAACUGCACGGCUUGAGGCUGGAAUAGGAGAGCGGAAUUCCCGGUGUAAGGGUGAAAUCUGUAGAUAUCGGGAGGAACACCAGUUGCGAAGGCGGCUCUCUGGUCCGGAUCUGACACUAAUCUGCGAAAGCUAGGGGAG
rnacentral:rRNA from 1 species